CUGAUGCACUUGAGUAGAAGAAGGGGCCCAAACAUUCGAAAUAUCCGGCUGACCUUGAUCUUCGAACAUGACCCCAGGAAUCUUAAGACAUAGGCUGAGGAGAAUUAGAAGCAACAACUUGAGUCUGGCAAAGAAGGUAGCUUGCUUCCAAGGAGGAGGAAGUCUUGGAAUCCACUAAACUGAGUAUUCCAUCUCCAACAAGUUCCCUUCAGUCUAGUGUAAAUCAAUGGUACCCCUACUGUUCUGUCUAUUGUGUGGAGCAGCACCUGAGUGUCCAAACUGGGCAUUCCAAUGUAUGGUAUGGUGGAGCCGUCAUAAAGAAUUGGCUCAAAAACCCUAGGAGACUGAUACAAUCAUAUCUUUCUUUACUGGCAUC
rnacentral:lncRNA from 1 species